GCUUCUGUGGCUUAGUGGUUAGAGUGUCCGCCUCAGAUGUGUAAUAUCGAGGGUUUAAUCCCCAACCAAGUU